UAAUACGUAGGGGGCGAGCGUUGUCCGGAUUCAUUGGGCGUAAAGCGCGCGCAGGCGGCUUCGCAAGUCGGCCGUGAAAUCUCCCAGCUCAACUGGGAGGGGUCGGGCGAGACUGCGGAGCUCGAGGUGGGUAGAGGACCGUGGAAUUCCGGGUGUAGUGGUGGAAUGCGUAGAGAUCCGGAGGAACACCAGUGGCGAAGGCGGCGGUCUGGGCCUGGCCUGACGCUGAGGCGCGAAAGCGUGGGGAGCGAUCCGGAUUAGAUACCCGGGUAGUCCACGCCGUAAACGAUGGGCACUAGAUGUCGGGGGUAUCGACCCCUCCGGUGUCGCCGCUAACGCAAUAAGUGCCCCGCCUGGGGAGUACGGCCGCAAGGCUA
rnacentral:rRNA from 1 species